GAUGAACGCUGGCGGCGUGCCUAAUACAUGCAAGUCGAGCGAACGGACGAGAAGCUUGCUUCUCUGAUGUUAGCGGCGGACGGGUGAGUAACACGUGGAUAACCUACCUAUAAGACUGGGAUAACUUCGGGAAACCGGAGCUAAUACCGGAUAAUAUUUUGAACCGCAUGGUUCAAAAGUGAGAGACGGUCUUGCUGUCACUUAUAGAUGGAUCCGCGCUGCAUUAGCUAGUUGGUAAGGUAACGGCUUACCAAGGCAACGAUGCAUAGCCGACCUGAGAGGGUGAUCGGCCACACUGGAACUGAGACACGGUCCAGACUCCUACGGGAGGCAGCAGUAGGGAAUCUUCCGCAAAGGGCGAAAGCCUGACGGAGCAACGCCGCGUGAGUGAUGAAGGUCUUCGGAUCGUAAAACUCUGUUAUUAGGGAAGAACAUAUGUGUAAGUAACUGUGCACAUCUUGACGGUACCUAAUCAGAAAGCCACGGCUAACUACGUG
rnacentral:rRNA from 1 species